GCAGGAAAUAAUUUUAAAAUGUUUUUCUCACUAAGCUAAAUAUUUGUGGUUCAAAAAUAUUUUCUAGUCAUUUUAGGGACUUAGAUUUGAACUCUAAUUCACGUAAGAGAGAAAUUGUUAGUUUACUCUUAAAAUAGUUGCACCCAGUAUUCAGUAUAUGGAGUACCUUCAUAAAUCUCCAUCAUGUUAAGUCAGAUAACUAGAAUUACCACGUGAAAUAAGCUGUAUAUUGUCGCUCCCCCUCUUCGUGGAGGAGCAACACUGAACCCUGCGCUGUUCUUUUGUCUGCUCGGCCCUCCCCGGGUUUGCUGCUGGUUCUUCCCGGGUUGGCUACUAUCCCUUCCACCUCCGUGGAAGGGCAGUUCCCCCUGGCCGCAUUCCCCACUUCCGCAGGGGAGCGGCACACCGCCGGCCGGCUCUCUGGGGGCUGCACGGGUUCCCUUAGAUGUUCCCCAUAGAUGUUCCUGGUGCAUGCCGUCUCUCUCCUCCUUUAUAGUCCUCCUCCGCCAAUCCCAACUCGGCUGAGUACGCUGCUCUCCAAUCAGGAGCAAGUCCUACAGUUAAUUGGUUGAACUGGAGGCAGCUGUGCGGAAGCUGUUUACUUCUCUCCCAGCGCCAUAUUGUGGGAGAGCAGAUGCAUAGAAUAAGUCCUAAUUCGAGUAACUUAGUCCAGUCCGGAUUGCUCCCCACAGUAUAUGAGUAGGCCAAUUAAUGUAUUAUGGUGUCUUUUAUUUUAGUCACUUGAAUUAUAAAACAAAUACAUGCAUCUGCUAUUCCUUAACAAUCACAUGUGAGCCUUUGUUUCUGUUGUUUUAAUUAAAUUGUAUGUAUACUGUUGAUAAACAGUUUUGUGCCUUAUAGAUCUAGAAGUCAAUAAGUAUCCAAAUUAGAAUGAGUAAAGGCUAUGCAGCACUUUGUCCUGGCGGUGACGGAAUGGCAGACAGAGGAGAGAAGCAGUUUCAGUUGUCUGUGAUGGAGUCUGGCAGUGUGGGAAAACUCAAGGUGUGCCAGCUACACUCAGGGCACUUCAUGUGAUUGGUUACCAGGGAACAGUUGGCUUUUUCCUGGUGAUCUUACUUUGUAAGUAGGGACAAAAUGAGGGAAGUUGUCAAUUACUGAUCAGGGUAUUUGGGGAUGAUUGUUACAGAGAUUGUUGCACCGAUAGCCAGAGAUACACUCUGACUUCCUUCCAGUCUGGUUUAUGGACAGCAGGCUGUCUGUAUGUAGCCAUAUUGCAGGUUGGUUUUCUGGGCUGAUUGCUGUAGGUUGAGAGUCAGAUUUCUUACUUGCACACGCACAUGUAUUCUGGCCAUCGUCUGUUCUCAUACUGAGUCUCUCAUUGACUACUUGAUAUUUUCAUUUGUAGAUAAAUCAGUGAUAAACCUGAAAAAUCGGUGCACAUUCUUUCUCAUUGUAGGAGCUGCAUAAUAUUCCAUAAUAAAAAUGGACCACAAUGUGUUCAGCUGUUUUGAGGAAUUUCCAAAUGGCUUCCAUCAUUUAGCUAUUUCGAAGAAUAUUGAGAUGCGUGUCCGUGAGUAAGCAUCUCCGCUUAAUGGCCUCAUUAGCAAUGUGGUCAGACUCCUGCAAGGGAAACUGCUGAGUCAGAAGUCAGGUGUGUUUGAAGUUUCAGUGCGUACACAGCAUUGUUUUAGUGCUUUCACAUGGCCCUUAGAGGAGCCAUCACUGUGAAAAGCUGAGCCCCUUCUCCCCACUGGCCUCCCUAGCUCCUCCACAACAGAGAUUAGAGGACAGGUUUUCAUUACAAGGUGGCAAAAUACUGCACCUGGUGGCAGCACAGAACCCCCAUCCUAAACCAAAGCAGUUAGGAGCGAUCAGUGAUCGGUAGAAACCGAGCAAUCACUGGCAAAUGUAAACUGGACAGGGAAAUUGCAGCGCGGCAGGUUGUAGGGAUAGUGCUGCUGCACAAAGGAGAUUGAUGCCCUUGAUGGGAGCAGGAGGCCCAGGAGCAAUGUCCAGGGUCAGCAGAGCCGCCCAGUAGUUGGAGCUGGCUGUGUGCCUCUCAGGGCAGGCAGCAAAGCUCCACUUACCCCCUUCCAGGAGAGUUCGCCCCACAGACUCAGGGCUGCUCCUCAGAGGCUGUGCCUGCAUCUUAGCCGUUCUCACUGAAAAUGCAGAAAGUUAAAGCAUGGUUGGAGCUGGAGAGUCGUGCACAGAAUACAAGUCCAGUAGGGAGUCUCCGAUGAGCUUGUUGCACAACUCCUUAAUACUUGCUGGGUAGUGACACCAUGCAGGAGGGAGACGCAACAAGUGUUACAGAUGUGCAUGAAGAUGAGAGAACAAGAUUGUGAAAUAAUUAGAAACAAUAUUUUAAGUGUGAUAGGAUAUUUUGUUCAGUGACAAGACUAUGUGGAUAUAAAGAAGAAUCAUCUGGACCAUAAAAACAGAAAAUAAUAUUGCUGAGAUGUGUAUGCCAGCGUGGAGAUGUGGCAUGGCAGUGGAGUGACUUAGAGAACUGGAGAGUGGAGUGGCGGAGAAGUUUGAGAGUGAAGACUAGAAAGGGACCCAGUAUUUCCAGAACAUGAUCUAAAUGGACUUCCAAAAGAGUAACAGGUGAUGAGGAGUAGCCAGCAUUUGAAGAGACAGCGGGGGAUACUCCGUGAGCAGAGAGAUAUGGGAUGAGCGGGAUUUACAAAAGCAAAAAAAAAUGAAAAGUUGAAAUCGAUUGGUUUGAAACAUCUCUGUCUGAGCGAUUUCAGAGUGUUAAGGUUAGAAUGAAAAGCCCAAGAGUUUGCAGAGAAAGUACAUGAUGAAGCCAGGGGCAAAGACUUCAGUUAACUCACUCUGCUCACCAGCUGGGAGGCUGUGCCGUAACUGUAGUGUGCCAUGCACCUCUGCGUCCGUGAGGGAACCGCAGCUCCACGUGGUUCUGGCGUCGCUCCUGUGUCUGAUCCUUGCCCAGGCACUCCCCCUCUGUCCCUUGGAGUCUGUUCCUGGGCUUCCUGUGCCUGACUCCCGACUUGAGACUCAAAGCCUUUCUUUAAUUGUAUUCUUUCAAACAGAGCCGUUACACAAGGGCCAGCUGUUACUGCUUUUCUGGUUGGCCUCCCCUCCCCUAGCCUUGUUGACCCCUAAGGCUGUGACGGAGACUUGCUGGACGUGUCCGGGUCCUGCCUGCAGCUCUCAGAGGACAGAAACUGGAAACAACAGAGGGCUUUAGAAUACUCAGAGCCGGCCUUCCAAGGCAGUCCCGAUUGCAGAUCUUUAGAAUUUGUAAUGUAUCUGUAAUACAUUUAAGAGUUACCUGUAUUGUAUCUGCACACAUUCUUAAAAAUGUGCAAAUUAUAUACAGAAACAUUCUCCUUGAAUGAAAUGACACAUGGGAGUCCCCCAUCUGUGGAGGAUGCAGUCCAAGGCCCCCAGGGGACACCCGACACUGGAUGCUGCCGGGCCCUGUGUACGGGGUUUUUCCCGUCUGGUUGUGUGUGUGACGGCAUUGCAGUCAGGGCUGCACCAGUGUUUGCAGUGCUGUGUGGCUGUCCAGCUUGUGAAGUGCCCCUGUGGUGCCAGCCCCACAGGAAAAUCACCCACCAAGUGACUGUCCGUACACACUUCUGUGACGAAGGUCAGUGUAGGAAUCCGGCACAGUAAGAGAUGAACAAUAGCUAGUGAGAUCCACUGUAAUAAGUUAUGUGGGUGUGGCGCGGUCUCACUGGUGUGAGAGGGUCCAGUGCCGACGUUGUGAGGGGAAGUGAGGGACACAGAUGUUGUGAGGUGGCACUGGCAUGACAUGAGGGCGCCUUGAGCACUCUGACGGCAAUUCCAUCGGUGUCCAUCAAGACGGCGACUAAGCGACCCGUGGGUGGGGAGCAGUUAGAGAGUGCGUACCUGGCAAAGGAAGGAGUUGUGUCAUGGAGAGGUUGGGAGCCCUCAUGGUACUAUUCCAAACCCCACGCAAUUUCAACUUCCAAACUGUUAAUUUCUAGAACCUUCCAUGUAGUAUUUUGGAUUGCACUUGACUGCAGGUCACAGGAAUCACGGGAAGUGACAGUGGACAGGGGCAAGUGUGUUAGCAAUGAGGCAGGGGCUGUUUUUGGCUCCCUCCUAUAUUUCCACUGCAUCAGUCACUGGCUGUUUCAGCUUGGCCUGUCUCAUUCCCGACUGUUCAAGAUGAGAUUAUCUACUUACAGUUUAAAAGAAAUACCUUACUUUUGGUGUAUUUUAAAAUGUAAGUUGUAACCCGUUUUUCAUUUUCCCAGCAUUUUGUUUUAUAUACUCGGCUGUCACUGCGUUUCCGUGAGUGGAGAUGAGAUGUUCACCAGUGAUAUUGUCCUGGGAGUGUACAUAUGUCGUAGUGGGCACCACUGCAGUCAGGAACAUUCUGGUUGUUUCAGAAUGCCUGUUUGUAACAGUUUUGCAGUGUGUGUGUGUGAGUGCUGUGGAUGCUUAUCAUUCUGGGAUGUCUGAGCAGUGGGGAAGUUGGCUCACAGGACCUGCAAGUUUGGAAUCCUGAUGGGUAGUGGACCUCCUGACUGGCCGUGGGAGAGAGUCUCUGUACCCCCAAACCCUUGCGGACACUGCUAUUAUCAGGCUUUUAAAUGUGUGCCUGUUUAUUGCGGGUAUUUUGUCUUAUUUUAAAAUUGCCUUCCUUUACAGGAUUGACCCUAAAAUCAUGUAAAUGUUACCAUCAUAUUGUUGUCCUGUGCAUCCAGGAGAGACUGGGUCUAACACCUGACAUGCAUCCCACAAUCCGUGAUGCUGAUGUCUCCUGUAGAAAAUGACAGUACACGGCACACAGCGUGUACAUCCUGCCAACACUGUACACAGUUUCUAGAUCGAGUAUCAUGCCUGAUACAAAUGACAAGUAAAUAGUAGCUACAGAACAUUGUACAGGAAUAAUAGCAAGGACAAUAGUAUUUGUUCAAAACAUGCAGCUAUUUUAUGUAAAAAUUGUUAGGUGUUUAUUUGAUGAGAGAGAGAGAAAGCGAGCGAGGGAGCGCUCCCAUUCACUGGUUUAUUUUCCAAAUAGUGCGCUAAAGCUAAGAGCUGGGAACUGAGUCCAGGCCAUCGUGUGGGCAGCAGGAAUCCAGUCACUGGAGCCAUCAUCUCUGUCUGCUGGGGCUGCAGCGGGCGUGGACCCCGAGCACUCCCACAGGGGAUGCAGGCAUCCCAGUCAGUAGACCAGACACCCACUUCCAAAGCAGUGAGAAAGCAGUUGUGUACACACACACACACACACACACACACUCACACUUUGAGUUAAUGUUGGUUUUAAUCUGCUGCUGUGGGGCACAAGAAUAUGGAGGCUGACUGUGUAUGUGCCUGAAACCUGAAAAAUGUCUACUGUGUCCUUCUAUGUAGAUGUUAAUUAAGUUUUAUUAGAUAAUGUUCCACCAAUAAUUUUCACUUGUGGCUAAAUGAGUGAAUAUUCUUACCAAAAGGAAUAUACUUUGUAAAUCACCAAAAAUCAUUUAAAUUGUAGAGCCAGACUGAAGCCAAAGAAGGUUCGCAUUGCUGUGAGCUGCCGAGGGGCUGGCCCAUCUGGGUGCUGCCCAUGGCCACCUGCUCUCCCCAUGCUCUGCCCUCGCUUUGCUCUUUCUUUCCUCCCUGUCCCCUGCAUUCGCAUGCGUUGUUUGAAUGUGAUUUAGGCUUUCCCUUGAAUUUAUUUGUAGUACAUUUUUGCCAUUUCCAGUCUUGUUUCUAUUUUCUGUGUUUUCAUUUGUCUCAGUGAUGUUUAUUUAUUUGUAGAAACUUUUUAAUGAUGGAUGCUUUAAAAUUUAUGUCAGAUAAUUUCUCCAUUUGGUUCCUCUCAGCCUUGCCUUUACCUGAUAACUUUGUUCUCAUUCAAACUAGUCUUUUCUUGAUUCUGGGUAUAAUGAAUGAGUUUUCAUUGUAUUUUGGAUAGUUUAAAUAUUAGAUCAGGGGACUCUUAAUGCUAUUUCUUUUUAGGAUUCGUCUGUAGGUUAUGGCCUUUUCAGGGCUGUGUCCUGGUGAGAGCCUGGCUUUGCUGAGCCCUGCACUGCUUGCCUGGUCUGCUUCUUGUUCUGCUCAGCUUGAGCUCCUGGGGUCACAGGUGUCUCCUGGGAGUCGAAGGUGCCGCCCUGAGCUCUGGUGUGGUGAUGCUGUGCUCACGGCUGGAGAGCGUGAGGGCCCUGUCUGUUUCCUGCUCUCAUCAGGGUCUCCAGACUUCCCCUUCGAGUUCCUUGGUCGAAGACAACAAGCUUUUUGGUAGUUCCAGAUGGCAGCCAUCUCUGGUGCCCAGUGUAACACAUGAAAAUCCAGGAAAAUAUCUUGAGAUGCCUGUGCAGUACAGCUUAUUUUUUCUACUUUUUAGGCGUCUUUUUGUGAUUAUUAUCUCCAGAGACUUGGGUUGUAUUUCGAUGGGAAGGAGCAGGGGCAGGCACAUCGAAGGCACGUGGCCUGCAGGUUUGCCUUCACAACUUGGCACACACUCCUGUCACCCUGCUGACUCCUCACCAAGUGCCAUGGAGUUGGCUUUUCUGAAGAUAGAAUUCUUCUCCACAGGUUUUUAUUUUUUUAAAAGAUUUAUUUAUUUACUUGAGAGGCAUAGUUAGAGAUAGAAAGGGAAAGAGAUCUUCCAUCUACUGGUUUACUCCCCAGAUGGCCUGACCUCUCUCCUGCCUCAAGAGUUUGGCCCUGAUCUUUCACUUUUAAGGACCCAUGGGGGCCAGCGUCAUGGCUCACUAGGCUAAUCCUCUGCCUUGCGGCGCCGGCACACCGGGUUCUAGUCCCAGUCAGGGCGCCAGAUUCUGUCCCAGUUGCCCCUCUUCCAGGCCAGCUCUCUGCUGUGGCCAGGGAGUGCAGUGGAGGAUGGCCCAGGUGCUUGGGCCCUGCACCCCAUGGGAGACCAGGAUAAGCACCUGGCUCCUGCCAUCAGAUCAGCGCGGUGCACCAGUUGCGGCAGCCAUUGGAGGGUGAACCAACGGCAAAGGAAGAUCUUUCUCUCUGUCUCUCUCUCUCACUGUCCACGCUGCCUGUCAAAAAAAAUUUAAUUUUUAGCUCCCACAUAUAAGGGACAAGAUAUAGUGUUUGUUUUUCUGGUCUAGAUUAUUUCACUACACAUCAUGUUGCAUCCAUUUUGCUUUUUACUGCAAAUGCUAGAAUUUCUUUCUUUUUUUCAAGAAUAGUAUUUAUUUAAGAGAUAGAGUUACAGACAGAGGGAGAGACAGAAAGGUCUUCCAUCUACUGGUUCGCUCCCCAAAUGGCUGCAACAGCCAGAGCUAUGCCCAUCUGAAGGCAGGACCCAGGAACUUCGUCUGGGUCUCCCAAGCAGGUGCAGGAGCCUAAGCACUUGGGCCAUCCUCUACUGCUUUGCCAGGCCAUAAGCAGAGAGGUGGAUCAGAAGAGGAGCAGCUGGGACAUGAACCGGCGUCCUCAUGGGAUGCCAGUGCAGCAGGCAGAGGCCUAGCCCACUAUGCCACAGCCACUAGCUCUUCAUUCUUUUUUAUUGCUGAUUAAUACUCAAUUGUGUAUGUAUACCACAUUUCCUUUAUCUGUUCAUCUGGUGAUGGGCAACUGGGUUCAAAAUAAAUAUAAUUUAAGUUCUUUUUUUUCAUGUUUUUUUUUUAAGUGCUCUUAUAAAUGACAAGCAUCUCUUUCUGUGCCAGAUGGGGAGAAUAUGAAUAUAUAUGUGUGUGUGUGUGUGUGUGUGUGUGUGUAUACACUUUAAUUUCUUGGUCCUAUUUACUGCUUGAUACAAAAAACAUUGCAGCUUAUCUCUUUUCUGAGGGACCUUAUAAGAUUAGAUUUACCUUAACUCAGGUGGAGAAUAGGAGAAUGUUGUUUUUAAUUGUUGUUUUGUUAUUGUCGUAUUUUAUUUCACUUAAAAAUAUCUGUUGAUGUCUCCUGCCUUUGAAAAUGAUUGUUCCAAUAAUUUCAAAUUCCAACAAUCAUUCAGUUCUUCUCUGGAGUUAAAAAUGGGCAAUCCAUCAUUAUUUUGUUAUUUCAUAUGAGUUAGCAGGUUUCCGCUUCCGUAGCCCCUUGGCAGCUGCAGUCACCCCGGCUGCUUGGCGUUUCCAAGCCCUCAUUGCUUCCACCUCUGCCCUCAUCCGCUUUUCACUACCAGGAGGAACUUUGUAUCAUUGGCACACUUGCAUCUUUCACUCUGCACACCCUCAUUAGACCCAGUAUUGUGUAAGCUGAAUUACUUCAUCAUGUGAAGCCAGUGUAGACAUGGCACUUACUCCAGGGUGCCCUAGUGCAAAGACGUUUUCAUCCAUAAACCUGAUGGCCCCUCCCUCUGUUUUCUGUCUGAUGUGUGAGUGUAUGCUUGGAAAUCCAUGCCCCAUUCCGCAUAGUUCUGGAGUGCGUGGGGUGGUGUUUGGUGACUUGCCAAGGGUUUACAGAGGUUCACGAGAGUUCGCACUGCCAAAGGUUCACACAGCUCGGGAACUGGCAGCUCGCCCUUUCUUUCUUGUCUGUGUGUUUGUCCUGCUGGAACUGUGGUGAGGAAGGAUUUAUGCUGUUGGUCUGAGAGUCCUGGUGCGGCACGCUGUGCCCCUCCUCUCUGGGCUGUGCCUCCUUGACUGUGCAGUGAGCUGCUCCACAUUAUAUAUUGCCCCAGUCUGUUAGACAUGCAAGUGGGAGCCACUGGGCCGAAACUCUAAAGCUCUUCCCAGUAGUGUUUUUUAUGGAUGAUGUCAAAACAAAGGCAGAUUCAAAAUAAAUAAAGCCACCACUCUCAUUUGUAAUGCUAGGGCUUGGAACAAGCCACAGCAGGCACAAGCGCACCAGACGUUCGAUUGCUCUCUUAGUCAUUACUGUUAGUGACCCCUCCCAUGGCUUUAGCCAUGCUUCUUUGUCUAAUUGAAAUAUAACCAGCAAGAAGCUGUCUCUUGGGGCAGAUGUUCACGACACCAAGUAGUUCUCCUCUGGAGGUGAUUUUGCUCGGUUUCAGUGCAUUUGGCCGUGUCUGGAGACAUUUUUGGUUUUGUAGACCAAAGUGGCUAGAAGUGGUGGCACUGCUGUCGUCUUGGAUGGGGUCAGGGGCACUGCAGAGCCUCCUGUACUGCACAUUCACUCCCGCCCCCGGUGAAUCACCUGGCCCUCGGGUGUCAGCUGGGCCCGCAUGGAGAACAGCUAGCGAGUGCUCUUAUUUUUUGCGUGUUCACUCACUCGACCACCUGGAUCUGUGCAGAGUUGCACUUGUCCACCAAACUCGCCGAUGCUGACGGUUGCCAGGUGCCCUGUGGAAUGUGGUGAAUGUACCAUCAGAAUGUAUCUGCUGAUACAUGCAUCCUUUCACGUAAUGAGAACCAGAUUAUUAUGCAGGCAUUGGCUUGUGGUGUAUUCUCUUUAAACAAGUUCCUUGAGUUUACCACUGGCCUCCCUUGUCACCAAACCCUUCUUGCCAUACCUAAAAUAAUUGAAAUUCUAGUUAGGAGUGUCAUGGAUUGAAGAUACUCUGGUUUCAGAAUCAUUCCUGUUAUCUUAAUCUAACUCAUAAGUUGAAUUGUGAGCUUUGCGAAUACAAUCCAGGGACAGACCCAACCAGAGUGUCGAUUUCAAAGCAAACUUGACCAAAGGUGAAGUGACAGAGAGGUAGAAAUGAUCAGAUGUCUCUUAGGUCCAUUGCUUUAUUUCAUUUAGACCAAAUUUAGUUCAAGCUGUGGCACAGGGGAAAUGCUAAUUUGCAUGGCUACUUCAGCAGUAGCACUCAUUAAGGCUCGUACAGCUUAUUGCAACAUCAAAAGAAACUGCAUUGUCAAAGCUGAUGUGUAUUAAUGAGAAGCUCACUGACCCCUCCCUUUUUUCUGUGUGUGACCCUUAGAACCAGAAUCACUAGAUAAAAUCAGCAAUUUCACAGUGCACGUUCCCUGUCAAACAGCUGCGCUGAUGGAUCCUGCAGGCUUGAUUCAUUAGGUGAACUCCUCAUCUGGGAGGGGAGUGCUCGGUGACUUUCGGCUCUCAGUCAAGUUAAUCAUUGUGCCAUUUCCGUGUGAUUAUUCCCUUUAUUUCACUUCAUAGGAGGCUUAUGUCCUUUAAAAUAUUGUGCCAGAUGUACAUAGAAUCAGGAUUUUUGAGCUGGAAGGAAAUUUCAAGAUCAUUUAGUUCCAACCUUGUCAUUUUAUAGAGCAGAAAUGGAGGCGUCUGAUGAAUGCCAGACUGGAGAUUAAUGAAUCAGACGGAGAAUUCAUGAGCUGCUAGCUCACUGCUAAAUACUCUGUGUUACCAUUGUGCUUCCAGUAGAUGAUUUCAAGGUCGCUCCAAGCUUCCGAUGGUCUUAAGGCUCUUCUGGGAGACAGAACCAGUGUUCUCGAAUCCUCUGUGCUAUCUUCAGCUUCUCUGGGCCUCCAUCUGAUGACUUUGCUCUCCCUGAUGCUGAGAGGAUGAACACUGCCAGCGGGGACCUUCUGCAGCCGACACCGACGGUUACGUCUGCCUCCUCCCCUGCUGCUGUCCGCACCCGGGCCUUGGCUCCUGGAAUGAAAAAAAAAGAACGAAGAAAGAAAACUCAGUGUUGGCGAAGAGAAUGGAGCAGGAUUUGCCUGACGGCACAGGUUCUCGCGGGCAUCUUCGCAGAGCCUGCCGUCUGCAGCUUCCAUCCCAGAAACCAGACAUCAACAAGAGGGCCGUGGUUCAGUACUCCUCAGGAUGACGGUGCGGGAGUCCUGUGUGAGAGGAGACAGUGAACACCAGCGUCCAUUGCAAAUGUGCUGUUGGGGGCAGUGGUAUUGCUUGCCCUCAGGGCUGCAGAGUGAGUUUAGCAUUUGAACACCGAUGGUGAUGGUGGGCUUAGGGUUGCCCUGGCGUGGCACAGCAGGUGAAUGCCGCGUGCUCCUGCAGGCCUCUGCCCAGCCCCAGUGCGACACAGGCAGAGACGCACACUUCAGUGGCAGAAGUCCGCACUUUUCCCACCUCUGACUGGGCGCGAAACAAGGAUGUGCGUUCCGCCACCUCCUGUCACCUUGGGGUGGGCCACUUAGGAUCCAGGACAGGAGAGCUGGGGCUGGAGGGGGCUGGGGCAGACGGAGGGAAAGAAGCAGAAGCUUUUCCAUUUCUCGAUAGCCGGAUCGAGGGUGAGAAGCAGUUCAUACAGGAAGGCACUCAGACAGGGUAUGUGACCAACGUGUGCGCAUAGCGGGGCUUGUAUUUAUAAGCAGUGUAUAUACCGUUUUUAAAAACACUCAAAUUCAGGAAAAUGUUAGGCUUUGUACAUUGAAAUGUACAAAACGUGAGAAAUGAAACCCAACCCCAAAGUAAAAGAGAAAGAAGCCUUGCGGACAGGUUGUAGACUCACGCUGAGGACACCAGGGCCUCUGCGGGGAUCGGGUUCCACUCCCCGAGCAGCCUCAGGUGAGGUCUGGCAGGUUGUGCUUGGGAGGAGUGGAGGGCGAGCAUGAUAAGCUAAUUUUAAAAUGUUCUAAGGAAUGAAAAACACAGCAGCCUAAAUGUUUUUUUUCUGGAAGAGAACACGUUGGGGGAAUUUCCUGACUUGGUUUCAGGAUUCCCUGUUACUCUGAGUUUGCGAUGUGAGGACACACAGGCAGGCGGAGGGCACAGGACAGGGCCCGGACCCACCCUGGGAUGGCCGUGCUCCUUCAGUGGGGGAGAGGGUAGACCUUCCAUGUGGGUCUGGGCCCAGGGCGUGUUGAUGGGGAAACAGCGUUAGCACCCGGUGAGCAGAAGCGAACUGCGGCUCCGUCGUGACGGGACCAUGCCCAGCGCCCAGUGUCACCCUGCUCUGUGGAACACUGCUGUAGGAGCCUCAGGGUCGCUCCCACGGCACAGGGUAUCUGGAAUAGUUGGUCCCCAUGGAAGGGGACUGUUCAAGUCCUAGGAGGGCCGUGUCUGCCCCGGUGAAGUUUCCAUGACAGUUCUGUGUGUGUGUCAAGAAGGAAAAUAGAAAUGUCUGCAGGUUUUUUGAAUGACAGAGCUCGCUUCAACAUUUAAUCCACAGAUGGCAAGGGACAGAAACCCACAAAAAGCAUCUCUGGUGGAGAAUGUGGGGCGCUGUCUCCUCAGUUUUCAGAGGGGAGCACGCACAGACGAUGUCCCUGGGGAAGAACAGUCCCAAGGUGACGCGCUGUGUUCCCCAAAACAGUGUCUCCAUUGUAGCUGUGCCUCUGUCCUGCUCCAGGUUGUUUUUUUUUAAAGAUUUAUUUAUUUGAAAGCUGGAGUCACAGAGAGGAAGAAACAGAGAGAGAGAGAGCGGGAUCCUCCAUCCUCUGGCUCACUCCCUGAAUGGCUGCAGCAGCCAUGGAUGGAGCAGGCCGAAUCCAAGUCUGCCACAUGGUUCUUGGGCCAUCUGCCACUGCCUUCCCGGGCCUUUAACAGGGAGCUGGGUCAGACGUGGAGCACCGAGGACAUGAGCUGGUGACCAUGUGGGAUGGCAGCAUCAUAGCAGCGGCCCAACCUCUCGCACCACACCGGCUGCUGUCCUGAUUGACUUUUGACAGUACACGUUGCUGCCUGUCUUCUCUCUGUGCAGCCCCUGUCCCUUCCGUCGGCUGUGUCAGUGGCUCAGGUGCCCAUUGUCCUUUCCACAUCCUGGCUGAAUCGGGUGCCCUGCUUAGAUCAGGGGAGUGGCCUAGGCCAGUGGCCGCAGGCAGUGGGUGAGGUGGGGCCACAGACUGCUUCAGGCUCUCCUGCCCCAUCCCCACAGCAGUGAUCUUCUGGGGCAGCUGUGCCCACACUGGGCCUGUUAGAGUGAUGCAAAAUCGCUAGUGUCCUGGGCCCCAGGAGGGGAAACCAGAAAUGCUUUCAUAGCUGGAUUUGCAUCUGGAUCCAAUGACAGUAAUCGAUUGACUGUGCUCAUUGAGCUCCUUGGUGCCGCGGUCCUCUAAGGGCCAAGUGCUGGAGAAAUCAGACUGAGUGGUGGCCUUGGGCUGCAGGCCGUGCAUCUUAGGGGAGUGAGCGUCUCCUAGGCAAAUCUGAUUAUUCCACUCUCAACAAACUGACAUUUACAAUAGAAGCGUCAGUUGACAGAGACAAAUCCAGGACACGACUCACUUAGAAAGUUUGAUGGGAAUUAUUUCUCACCCACUGGACGUGAUUGGUACAACAUACAACGGUGGUAUUAAAGAGCUCUUACAGAACUCCUGCAUUAGACAUAGAACAAACAAAAACAUCGCUGAACCACUGAAGGUGGUCGGCCCUUCCUGCACUGGGGAUGGUCCCUCUCAGCUAGACUUGCCUGCUUCCUAUCAGCCAGGCCAUGUUUACUGCAUUUAUACAAAUGUUCAAUGUUCUGUGAUGACUUAGCUUAUUUUUCUAAGAAAUACAAAAAUUGUCAGAGUGCUGAGGUUGCUGAUAAGCCAAGGUUUACAAUUAACAAAGAAAACAGAACCAGCCCGGCGCCAUCGGAAUCCACGCAGCUUCUCUGAGGUGUGCUGCUUGCAGAUAAGCAUGUCCUUUUGUAACGUCUUCCUGGCUGUAGGAUGACGCGUGCCCACCUGCCUCUGGGCGGUCACUGUUCAGCGAGGGACGUCCUGUUGCACGAUGCUGCACAGCUCUGCAUGUGCUGAGCUUGAAGUCUGAGAAGGACCAGAUGAUGUUUUGUCACCUUAUUCAUCGGUUUUCAGGAUUUUAUGAAAUACUAUAUUAAGUUCAGAUAUAAGAUCAAGUUAAAAAAUUAAUUUGCCAUUUCUAUAAUUCUAGACAAAAUAUGCCUCAAUGACCUUGCCUUUACUUAGAGUAAAAAUUCUCUGUGUAAUAUUAAUAAGACAAUUGGUACAUAAUUUCCUAUCUUGAUUUAUGGUAUAAGACAGACUAAAUCAAUGCUGUACACCCUGUAGAAAAUGGGACAUGUUACUGAAGCUUAUUGUGUAGGUAGAUAAUGUAGAGAAGGAAAAACUCUGAAAACCACUGGACAAAAUAAAAACACAUGUUCAUUAAAGAUGUACUUCCCAUACAAAUCUGUUUAACCGAACUAUUAUUUCUAUUUUGUUCUACCUUCAGUAGCAGCUUUCCUGGGGUAUAAUUCAUAGACCUUUAAGGUGUACUGUUGUGUUCUGGUUAAUACAUUGACAGGGCUGUGAGACCCCCACAGUCAGUGCUGAGACACUGUGUGACCGUUAGAAGGAAACACAUAGCUCCGGCAGUCCCACAACUUCCGCUGCUCCCCUGCCCUGGGCGAGGGCUGACCCACUGGGCAGUCCCUGCUUCCCUGCCUCCUGCAAGCGCUGUGCCGGCUUCUUGUUCUCCAUGUUCCUGUGAGUAGAAUCUGCACAGGCAGCCUCCUGGGUCUGGAUUCUGUCACACGGGGUGCGUGUGGGAUUCAGACAUGCUGUGGGAUGCGGUGGGCUUGAGUUCUUUUAUGGCUCCUAUGGUUUAUGUGAGCGCACUUUGCUUUUCUGCUUCCAUCUGAUACACACCUGGGCUUUGUGCCCUUUGUCUUGUGUUGAGAGAGCUGUGCUGGGAGCAUUCCUGUAUUAUGGUCUCCGUUCUCAGAGUGUGUCUACGGGUGGACGAGCCAGGUUGUGUGGUCGCGCUCUUGCGCUGCGCAGCACUUGCUCACUGGUUUUCCAGAUCAGUGCUCCUCCAUCCAUCUGGGUCAGUGACGCGUCAAGGUCUCCACCAAUCCUCACCUGCCCUUGUCCUCAUCUUCAUCACCAUCACUCUCACCAGUGUGUGGAGGGCACAAUGUUACUGAUUUGGUUUCUUCUGCUGAGUGUUCUCUUGUACACGGGGUGAUGUUGGUGUUGGUGACGUCAUUUCUCUGCUGUAUUCUCAUGGACGCAGGGUGGUCCCAGUGUUGGUGACGUCAUUCCUCUGCUGAGUGUUCUCUUGUACAUGGGGUGAUGUCAGUGUUGGUGAUGUCAUUCCUCUGCUAUGUUCUCAUGGACGCAGGGAAGUCUCGGUGUUGGUGAUGUCGUUCCUCUGCUGAGUGUCCUGGUGGACAAGGGUGGUCUCAGUGUUGGUGACGUCAUUCCUCUCUGAGUGUCCUGGUGGACGAGGGUGGUCUCAGUGUUGGUGACGUCAUUCCUCUCUGAGUGUCCUGGUGGACGAGGGUGGUCAGUGUUGGUGACGUCAUUCCUCUCUGAGUGUCCUGGUGGACGAGGGUGGUCAGUGUUGGUGAUAUCAUUCCUCUCUGAGUGUCCUGGUGGACGAGGGUGGUCAGUGUUGGUGAUGUCAUUCCUCUGCUGAGUGUCCUGGUGGACGAGGGUGGUCCCAGUGUUGGUGACGUCAUUCCUCUGCGAGUGUCCUGGUGGACGAGGGUGGUCCCAGUGUUGGUGACGUCAUUCCUCUGCGAGUGUCCUGGUGGACGAGGUGGUCCCAGUGUUGGUGAUGUCAUUCCUCUCUGAGUGUCCUGGUGGACGAGGGUGGUCAGUGUUGGUGAUGUCAUUCCUCUCUGAGUGUCCUGGUGGACGAGGGUGGUCAGUGUUGGUUACGUCAUUCCUCUGCUGAGUGUCCUGGUGGACGAGGGUGGUCCCAGGGUUGGUGAUGUCAUUCCUAUGCGAGUGUCCUGGUG